rnacentral:rRNA from 1 species
CGCUAUCACUCCUACGGGAGGCAGCAGUGGGGAAUAUUGCACAAUGGGCGCAAGCCUGAUGCAGCCAUGCCGCGUGUAUGAAGAAGGCCUUCGGGUUGUAAAGUACUUUCAGCAGUGAGGAAGGUGGUGCAGUUAAUAGCUGUAUCAUUUGACGUUACCUACAGAAGAAGCACCGGCUAACUCCGUGCCAGCAGCCGCGGUAAUACGGAGGGUGCGAGCGUUAAUCGGAAUUACUGGGCGUAAAGCGCAUGCAGGCGGCCUGUUAAGUCAGAUGUGAAAGCCCGGGGCUUAACCUCGGAAUUGCAUUUGAAACUGGCAGGCUAGAGUCUUGUAGAGGGGGUAGAAUUUCAGGUGUAGCGGUGAAAUGCGUAGAGAUCUGAAGGAAUACCAGUGGCGAAGGCGGCCCCCUGGACAGAUACUGACACUCAGAUGCGAAAGCGUGGGGAGCAAACAGGAUUAGAUAACCUGGUAG